GACGAACGCUGGCGGCGUGCUUAACACAUGCAAGUCGAACGGAAAGGCCCUGCUUGCCGGGUACUCGAGUGGCGAACGGGUGAGUAACACGUGGGUGAUCUGCCCUGCACUUCGGGAUAAGCCUGGGAAACUGGGUCUAAUACCGGAUAGGAGCCAUUUUUAGUGUGAUGGUUGGAAAGUUUUUUCGGUGUAGGAUGAGCUCGCGGCCUAUCAGCUUGUUGGUGGGGUAAUGGCCUACCAGGGCGGCGGCGGGUAGCCGGCCUGAGAGGGUGGACGGCCACAGUGGGACUGAGAUACGGCCCAGACGCCUACGGGAGGCAGCAGGGGGGAAUAUUGCACAAUGGGCGCAAGCCAGAUGCAGAGACGCCGCGGGGGGGAUGACGGCCUUCGUGUUGUAAACGCCUUUCGCUAGGGACGAAGCUUUUUGUGACGGUACCUAGAUAAGAAGCACCGGCUAACUACGUG
rnacentral:rRNA from 1 species